GUUAAAUUACAAUAAAGCCUCGUGCAGUUUGCAGCAAGCUCUCGAAUCCGCCUGGUGAUUGGGGUGACCGCGAACCUGGCCUGAGACCCCGGAUACUUGAGUUUUCGGGGGUCUAACAUUUUGGGGGCUCGUCCGCGAUUUGCGACCACCCUUCACCUGAGUGGAUUCGAUCUUGGAGGUAAGAUGAUUGGAGCUCGAAACUUAUAUAUGUUCAAUGUUCUAUGUUUCUUGUUUUGUCUCUUGCUGUGUUGUUGGUUUGAAUUUGUAAUUUGUAUUUGAUCUGCGCAGAAUUUGUAAUUGAACCAUAGGGUAAGCAGACUUGCGAGAACCUUGGUUCCACCCUGGAUGAAAGUCCAAGGUUUGGUUGUAAUUUUGGUUUGGGGCACCAUUUCUUUGCCGCGGUUUGUCCUGUCUAAUGUUUGUGCUGUCUAAUGUGCUGUCAUUUGUGUUAUAUGUUUCUUAAGCAUCUCUUUCUGUCCCUGCUCUCCCUAUGCACGUGGCAUGCAUGGGUCAGGGGGUCAGGGGUCUUUUCUUGAUUCUCUGAGCACGUGGCGCCACCUCAACUGUGAUCGGCAGAUGCGCCCUGUGGACAGACUGCCACUCUGAGGACACCCAGGACCCAGGAGGUAUGGACUCGGGCCAAGGACACUUGGACCCGCCUCAGUUAGCCGCCGAGUUCUGCCGCCGUCUUCCCGGCGCCAUUGCCUUAUGAGCAGCGUGGGCGGAUUGGGUUGGCGUCUGUUCUUUCCUGUCUAUUCUGUGUUAUCAUCAUUGGUUUUCAAUUCAGGAUCCACCACGCCACCCCCUUUCUAUCCCCACCUGCGGGUCUGAGGCAUGCCCAGUAGGACUGUUUCUGCCCCAGCUGCCGUUAUGGCUGUUUCCCUGCUCUGGGGGAAUAUGGCUACAAGGCCGCCAUCUGCUACCCGUCUUUCUGUGCUCCACACACAUGGUAUGCAGGGGGGCCGCAGGAGUCUUUUUCCCACCCCUGGAUUGGCCAAGGGUCUGGGGUUACCAGCAGCACCCCCACCCCAGGUCUCUCUGCCUUGAGCACAUGGAGCUAGCUCAGGCAGGUGAACCAUCUGUCCUGAUCCGGAUAUUCUAAAAACAAUAACAACAAAAAAGGGCCUUAAAGUUAUUAAAAAUUGUAAAAGGGACUUUGACAAAAUUUUUAUAUUGACUAAAAAA
rnacentral:lncRNA from 1 species